UACGUAGGGGGCGAGCGUUGUCCGGAGUUACUGGGCGUAAAGCGCACGCAGGCGGUCUGCUAAGUUUGGAGUGACAGUUGGUGGCUUAACUGCCAAAGUGCUUCGAAAACUGACAGACUUGAGGGCUUCAGAGGGACACGGAAUUCCGGGUGGAGUGGUGAAAUGCGUAGAGAUCGGAAAGAAACACCAAGGCGAAAAGCACUCUCUGGGGCCACACUGACACUUGAG
rnacentral:rRNA from 1 species